GAUGAAACGAGAGGAGGCAGAGAGGAACCUUUUGAUGUAGUGACUCCGAGAGUGGGCUCUACUGUCAGAGAGACUUGGGUUCAAAUCGGGCAAGUUACUAACCCAGGCUAUCAACAAAGAGCUAACACUAUGCCUGCAAAGAGCCAACGAUCAAUAAAUAGUAACUGUUACUAAUUAUCACUCGUGACUGUAGGACCAUCUGUCUAUAUCCAGGCUGAUCUGGACCUAGAUUGGAGGACAGCUUUCAGGAAAAGCAAGGACAACACGCUGUCCCUCUAAGACAGUCCAGUUUCUCGAAAUGGCUAUAUUUAUGGUAAAUCAAGGAGAUUGAUUUUUAUGAAAUGAGGAACAGCUCCCCUGCUGAGAGAAACACACCUUGGAAGAGCCUGACCCUCAGCAAAAAUCCAUCCCCAAGUGCGACAAGAAAGGGAAGAGUUUUGAUGGCCUUCCUGAAGAGCAAGCUUCAGCUUCCAACAAGAUGGAGGAAGGGGCCCCAAGCCAAGGAGUGUGUGCAGAUUCUGGAAGCAAGAAAAGGGAAGGAAAUGGAUUUUCCAGAGAGGAACACCACCCUGACAAUUCCCUGAUAUUAGUCCAGAGAGACCCAUGUCAGACUUCUGAUCUCCAGCACUGUAAGGUCCUAGAUUGGGUUAUAUUCAAUCAUCAAGGACUUAUGAACAGGGAUGUGGCAUUUCGUAACUCCAGGGUUCCCCUUCCCGCGUGAAUGAGGCUCCUAUGCAAUGGUGGCCCUGCUUAUGGAACUCCUACCACAGGCCAGGCACAGCGGAGGAAUCCAGGUCCUCGCAGCUGAUCACUGAGAACAGAAAGCCAACAGUACUACUGCUCCGAAUAUCACACGGCACUUAAAAGGAGCUGGUUUACCACGCACCACGACAUGCCUGUGGGUGCUGGCUCCACCGU